UACGUAGGGUGCGAGCGUUGUCCGGAAUUAUUGGGCGUAAAGAGCUCGUAGGCGGUCUGUCGCGUCGGAUGUGAAAACCCAGGGCUCAACCCUGGGCCUGCAUUCGAUACGGGCAGACUAGAGUACGGCAGGGGAGACUGGAAUUCCUGGUGUAGCGGUGAAAUGCGCAGAUAUCAGGAGGAACACCGGUGGCGAAGGCGGGUCUCUGGGCCGUAACUGACGCUGAGGAGCGAAAGCGUGGGGAGCGAACAGG
rnacentral:rRNA from 1 species